rnacentral:rRNA from 1 species
UACGUAGGGGACGAGCGUUGUCCGGAAUUAUUGGGCGUAAAGGGCGUGUAGGCGGCUCUGCAAGUCCUGCGUGAAAUCUCGAGGCUCAACCUCGAGCGGUCGUGGGAAACUGGAGGGCUAGAGUGCGGGAGAGGGAAGUGGAAUUCCAGGUGUAGCGGUGAAAUGCGCAGAUAUCAGGAGGAACACCGGUGGCGAAGGCGGGUCUCUGGGCAGCAACUGACGCUGAGGAGCGAAAGCGUGGGGAGCGAACAGG